UACGGGGGGGGCAAGCGUUGUUCGGAAUUACUGGGCGUAAAGGGCUUGUAGGUGGCCAACUAAGUCAGACGUGAAAUCCCUCGGCUUAACCGGGGAACUGCGUCUGAUACUGGAUGGCUUGAGUGUGGGAGAGGGAUGCGGAAUUCCAGGUGUAGCGGUGAAAUGCGUAGAUAUCUGGAGGAACACCGGUGGCGAAGGCGGCAUCCUGGACCAUUACUGACACUGAUAAGCGAAAGCCAGGGGAGCAAACGGA
rnacentral:rRNA from 1 species